AAUUAUCACAAAACUCUAAUGUGACUCAAUGCAAGACAUGUGACUCUAUGCAUGCGGUACCUCAAUGUGAACCCAACGUUUCAGCGUUUUCCGAUUCAAUAUCUAGAACCCAAGCACGCUUCCGAUCCGGACAAGAUUAAAGCUACUACCACACCUAUUUCCAAUUAAGGAUCAACGUGUGCUAUGUUUAUUUCCAAUUAAGGAUCACUGUCUACUACCAUGCCUAUUUCCAAU
rnacentral:lncRNA from 1 species